AGCGAACGCUGGCGGCAGGCUUAACACAUGCAAGUCGAGCGGGCACUUUCGGGUGUCAGCGGCGGACGGGUGAGUAACGCGUGGGAACGUGCCCUCUGGUUCGGAAUAACUCAGGGAAACUUGAGCUAAUACCGGAUACGCCCUUUUGGGGAAAGGCUUGCUGCCGGAGGAUCGGCCCGCGUCUGAUUAGCUAGUUGGUGAGGUAACGGCUCACCAAGGCGACGAUCAGUAGCUGGUCUGAGAGGAUGAUCAGCCACACUGGGACUGAGACACGGCCCAGACUCCUACGGGAGGCAGCAGUGGGGAAUAUUGGACAAUGGGCGCAAGCCUGAUCCAGCCAUGCCGCGUGAGUGAUGAAGGCCUUAGGGUUGUAAAGCUCUUUUAUCCGGGACGAUAAUGACGGUACCGGAGGAAUAAGCCCCGGCUAACCUCGUG
rnacentral:rRNA from 1 species